CAGGAGGGCUUCUGAGUGUGGAUGUGCUGGACAGAGGGAUGAGUCACGUCCUGGGCAGGAUGGAACGGCACAGGUUGAGAUUCCAUUAACUGCUCAGAAUGCCACACAAUUUAAAGCCAAUGAAUUGUUUAUUUCUGGAAUUUCCCAUUUAAUAUUCUAGCCCAUGGCCCUGGCUAGUGUGACUCAGUGGAUUCAGAGCCAGCCUGUGAACCAAAGGGUUGCUGGUUCAA